UCUUCCUUCCUCUCAUUCUCUUCUCCCUCUUCUUCUAGAUCAAAUAGAUAUGCGUAUUUUCUCUCUCUAAAAUUUAUGAAAAUUCCUAGAUCCGAAUACCCAAAACAUUGAAUUGAACUUCAAAGUUCAGCAUUAGAUAUAACAAUGGAGUUUGAAUCCCCAACAACAGCAACAGAUGAAGUAAAUGGUGUUACAGUAGGUUUUCUCCCUCUCACCUCCGACUAUCAGCAGCCUUUUGUCUCUGAACUCCUCUCAUUCACUCUCGAUCGCAUCUACAAGGUCCACUCAUUUCCCCAAUCUCUCUAUAUAUCUAUAUAUCUAUGUGUGUGUGUGUGUGUAUAUAUAUAUAUACAUGUGGUAGUAAUAUUUGGUUAAAUUGAUUUUGUUGGGAUUGUAUUUAUGAUUUGAUAGGAGCCUGCGUUUUUACGGAUGAAUGCGGAAAUAAUUCAAAGGCAGAUGCAAAAUGUUGUUGUCAAUUACCACGUUUUCAUUUCUACUGCUGAUGCAUUGCGUUUUAUUCGCGAGGAAAUUUGUUCUAUCGAUAAACAUCUGAGAUUAGAGUACCUAAAAUAUUUUUAUUUUUGAAUUUCUUUUCCAGAGCCAUAUAGAUGAAAAAUUAAUGCCUGCUUAAUAUUUUUAACAGAAUGACUCAAUUUCAAAAUAAUAAUUAGUUUAGUGGGGUAAUUUGAAAAAUUAAAAGUUCAAUGGUGUAAUCAGUAAAACACGUCAACUACAAUGGGUAAUUCAUUAGUUUUGUCGAUAAAAAAAUUAACGUCCGUUUAUUUUUUUUAACGGAAUGACCCAAUUUCAAAAUAAUAAUUAGUUUAGUGGGGUAAUUUGAAAAAUUAAAAGUUCAAUGGCGUAAUCAGUAAAACAUGCCAACUACAAUGGGUAAUUCAUUAGUUUUGUCGAUAAAAAAAUUAACGUCCGUUUAUUUUUUUUAACGGAAUGACCCAAUUUCAAAAUAAUAAUUAGUUUAGUGGGGUAAUUUGAAAAAUUAAAAGUUCAAUGGCGUAAUCAGUAAAACAUGCCAACUACCAUGGGAUUUCAUUAGUUUUGCCGUUGAUGAAUAUUCUAAGAUCCAAAUUAUCCCUUGAGUUAAUCCAAAUCAAACUUCUUUUGGUGCGGACUUUAAUGUCAAAGCUGAGAUGAACAACCCUAUUAUAGGGGAUUAUACUACGUGAAAGCGUUAAAAUAGUUUUGCACAAUACAUUGUACGAAGAGUUGAUUCCCCUAAGUACGAGAAGAAAGGUCCAUAUAGUCUUACGACUGUUAAAGGUUUAAGUAGCGAUAUUUGAUAACCUAGGACAUAGUUCAUGUUCUUGUAACCCUCAGAUGUUCUUUUGAUCCUGAUUUAUAUUAAUGAUUCAAAUGCCGAGUUUUCAUUGAGAUUUCAGUCCUUGAACAUCGUUGAUAGAAAAGAUUACAGUAUUCAGUUGAUCUUUAUUCAUUGGCUAUUCAUCUGUUGUCAUUGUUACUAUUAUACUUGUGGGCAAUUGUUUGCUCACCUUUGCAUAAAAACAUUGCAGUUAAAAUUGAGAAAUCUGACGAGCCAUCCACUAGCAAAAGCAAGAUGAACAAGAGAUGAAG
rnacentral:lncRNA from 1 species